rnacentral:rRNA from 1 species
AGUGAACGCUGGCGGUAGGCCUAACACAUGCAAGUCGAACGGCAGCACAGUAAGAGCUUGCUCUUACGGGUGGCGAGUGGCGGACGGGUGAGGAAUACAUCGGAAUCUACUUUUUCGUGGGGGAUAACGUAGGGAAACUUACGCUAAUACCGCAUACGACCUACGGGUGAAAGCAGGGGAUCUUCGGACCUUGCGCGAUUGAAUGAGCCGAUGUCGGAUUAGCUAGUUGGCGGGGUAAAGGCCCACCAAGGCGACGAUCCGUAGCUGGUCUGAGAGGAUGAUCAGCCACACUGGAACUGAGACACGGUCCAGACUCCUACGGGAGGCAGCAGUGGGGAAUAUUGGACAAUGGGCGCAAGCCUGAUCCAGCCAUACCGCGUGGGUGAAGAAGGCCUUCGGGUUGUAAAGCCCUUUUGUUGGGAAAGAAAAGUAGUAGGUUAAUACCCCGCUGUUCUGACGGUACCCAAAGAAUAAGCACCGGCUAACUUCGUG